GUGAAUCAUCGAAUUUUUGAACGCAAAUUGCACUCUCCUCGGAGAGUAUGCCUGUUUGAGGGUCAGCCUAUAAAAAAUCGACAUCGUUGCUGUUUCGCGGUGGCGUUCGUCGGAAUUUGGGCCUUCUUAAAUCCUUUGGGGUUUUAGGGGAUUUAAAUUUUUUUUUUUGGUUCAUUGACGGUUUCUAAGUUUUAUUCUUUUCCAGGUUUAGGGAUUGAUUUUUUUUAGGCC
rnacentral:misc_RNA from 1 species